rnacentral:rRNA from 1 species
GACGAACGCUGGCGGCGUGCCUAAUACAUGCAAGUCGAACGAGAGCGACCGGUGCUUGCACUGGUCAAUCUAGUGGCGAACGGGUGAGUAACACGUGGGUAACCUGCCCAUCAGAGGGGGAUAACAUCCGGAAACGGAUGCUAAAACCGCAUAGGUCUUCGAACCGCAUGGUUUGAAGAGGAAAAGAGGCGCAAGCUUCUGCUGAUGGAUGGACCCGCGGUGCAUUAGCUAGUUGGUGAGGUAACGGCUCACCAAGGCCGUGAUGCAUAGCCGACCUGAGAGGGUGAUCGGCCACAUUGGGACUGAGACACGGCCCAAACUCCUACGGGAGGCAGCAGUAGGGAAUCUUCCGCAAUGGACGCAAGUCUGACGGAGCAACGCCGCGUGAGUGAAGGAGGUUUUCGGAUCGUAAAACUCUGUUGUUAGAGAAGAACAAGUGCUAGAGUAACUGUUAGCGCCUUGACGGUAUCUAACCAGAAAGCCAUGGCUAACUACGUG